rnacentral:sRNA from 1 species
CGUGCGUCGUGGACACAAGUGAGUCGCUGCAGAUUCUCUGUGCACUUGGCCUCUCUGUGGGUGUGCGUGCUUUUUAUGUGUAGCUAGUCUUUGUGAAUAGCUUACAGUUACCAAGCGUCCAUUGCCAACAAAUGAAAAAGAAGGCCAGCUGCUCAAAUUAAAGCGGGAUGUUGCUGUAGACCGGCAUGGCCAUGAACGCCCCUUGAUAAACUCAACAACAGCAUCCAGCAAGGUCGCUGAGGAUAAAACAACAAAAAAGGAUAAAAUCAACAAGAACUGGCAGCAGUAAGAAAUUAAAAACUCUGCCGUUGCAGAUGGACGGACAAUUCUGAAGAGCUGGAGCCAAUAUAGCAUGUACCUUAUCAUGUAGCGCCAUGAUCAGACCGGGGGCCAAGUGGUUAUGCUAUGCAGGCAACGAAACUGGGAAACCACACCUCCACUCAUGUACCUAUAUCCCCAGCAGAAAUCAGCAACAGGAACAACAACAGCGCGAGCAUAAGCAAAUCAAGGGCAAUCUUUGGACAUGGCAUAGGGCAGAUGCUGUAACGGGUGUCGGUGUUAGCGACAGCAGCGUGGGCGUCAGUGGCGCCUCUGUUGUAGUCUGAGGCAACAUCAUUAGCUUCAAACACAGCUUAAUGAUUAUGCGCAAGGCAAGCCAAUUGUAUUAUGCCGCAACUAUGAA